ACUCAAUCAAAGACACGGAGGAGAUGAUGAAAGCCAGUGACGUCUGCUUUCUGAAGGAGUUUCCAGUCUCGAUGGAAAGAGUCCAGAUCUCAUCAGAGCCGGAUCAACAGACUCCUUCUGGAGCUUUGAUUCAUGUGCC